CAGAUGCUGAACAGAUGCCAGUGCAAUGCUUUUGGUACUUCUCAGUCUGCAGAACUGGAGUUGAAAACAAGGCUACAGUCCGCAAGUCAUGAUACCACGAUAAACAUUUUAAAAGAGGAAAAUUUAAGAAAAUCCCAGUGUAUUCACCUAUGAAGUGUAAAGUCAUGAACAACCUGAGAACAAUGCAACUAUGGCACACAUUUAGACGCUGUUACGAGUAACAACAAAAAAGAAAUUUGCAGCGUUUGAAAUUAUAUUCAGUGUAACUUUUUGUACU
rnacentral:lncRNA from 1 species